GCCCUCGUAGCCCAAUUGGCAGAGGCAACGGAUUCAAAACCCGUGUGUUGGGGGUUCGACUCCCCCCGAGGGCACCA
rnacentral:tRNA from 1 species